UAGCUCUAUUGGAACGGCGGACAAUUUGGUGCGUAUGGCCCGUCUACAUCAGUUUAAAUAGAAGUCUUUGCUUAGUUAAUAAACUUAACUU